rnacentral:rRNA from 1 species
AUUGAACGCUGGCGGCAUGCUUUACACAUGCAAGUCGAACGGCAGCAUGGAGAGCUUGCUCUCUGAUGGCGAGUGGCGAACGGGUGAGUAAUGCAUCGGAACGUACCGUGUAAUGGGGGAUAACGUAGCGAAAGUUACGCUAAUACCGCAUACGACCUGAGGGUGAAAGCAGGGGAUCGCAAGACCUUGCGUUAUACGAGCGGCCGAUGUCAGAUUAGCUAGUUGGUUAGGUAAAGGCUCACCAAGGCGACGAUCUGUAGCGGGUCUGAGAGGAUGAUCCGCCACACUGGGACUGAGACACGGCCCAGACUCCUACGGGAGGCAGCAGUGGGGAAUUUUGGACAAUGGGGGCAACCCUGAUCCAGCCAUGCCGCGUGAGUGAAGAAGGCCUUCGGGUUGUAAAGCUCUUUCGGCCGGGAAGAAAUCGCACAGGCUAAUACUCUGUGUGGAUGACGGUACCGGCAUAAGAAGCACCGGCUAACUACGUGCCAGCCGCCGCCGUAACAC